UGGGUUUAGAACGUCGUGAGACAGUUCGGUCCCUAUCUGCCGUGGGCGCUGGAGAAUUGAGGGGGGCUGCUCCUAGUACGAGAGGACCGGAGUGGACGCAUCACUGGUGUUCGGGUUGUCAUGCCAAUGGCACUGCCCGGUAGCUAAAUGCGGAAGAGAUAAGUGCUGAAAGCAUCUAAGCACGAAACUUGCCCCGAGAUGAGUUCUCCCUGAGACUUUAAGUCUCCUGAAGGAACGUUAAAGACGAUGACGUUGAUAGGCCGGGUGUGUAAGCGCAGCGAUGCGUUGAGCUAACCGGUACUAAUGAACCGUGAGGCUUAACCUUACAACGCCGAAG
rnacentral:rRNA from 1 species